rnacentral:rRNA from 1 species
UACGUAGGGGGCAAGCGUUGUCCGGAUUUAUUGGGCGUAAAGAGCGUGUAGGCGGCCAUACAGGUCAGCUGUGAAAACUCGAGGCUCAACCUCGAGACGUCGGUUGAAACCGUUUGGCUAGAGUCCGGAAGAGGAGAGUGGAAUUCCCGGUGUAGCGGUGAAAUGCGCAGAUAUCGGGAAGAACACCCGUGGCGAAGGCGGCUCUCUGGGACGGUACUGACGCUGAGGUGCGAAAGCGUGGGGAGCAAACAGG